CGAUGGUUCACCUGCUGCUCGGUCUGUGGCUUUCUGUCAGAUUCAGAGUAAUAGAAGAGUCGGAGAAAGCUGAGAGCGACGAGUCGAAACACUCAGGAGACACACAGGAGAGUUUGGGAGGCGAUGCAGCAGUAUCAAGCCGAAGACAAGAGGAUAUGAACUAGACGACAUAUGAGGAUGCUCUCUGAUGAGACUUCAUGGGAUUUACCUGAAGCAGCAGCACAUGAGCCUGCAGUGGCACAAGGUGUAGAGAAGGAGGACAGAGAUGUACAGGAUGCACUGAUGCACUACCCUGCUAGAAGUUCUGUUGGUGGUCACACUAAAAAGUCAUCGCUCUAGGUCAGUGUUUCUCAACUAGUGGGGUGCACCCCCCUGGGGGGGCGCAGAGGCAUGUCAGGGGGGGCGCAGGCAACUGGGAGG
ensembl:lncRNA